ensembl:lincRNA
NNNAGGGCUACAAGAUUCUGACUGUGGGAUUGGUCUUUCUGGUUUUGGUGUCUGCUUCAUGAUGCCUUGGCCUGAGCCCAUGAUCCAUUGGCUCCCACAACCCAGCACUGUCCCUGAGUAUGUCUCAGAAUCCAUCAACUGGGACUCUCUGCCUCAAGAACUCCCCAACCUGACCAGCCUUCUCUAUUGGCCUCCAACUGGUGAAGACAGGGAUGAUUUUUUUGGCCUCUACCAGCCCCAGAACCUCCUCAUACUGCUUGAAGGGUCCGGCCCACACCACCUUUACUCUGGGAAGUAACCUAGAAGCCAUCCUUGUGGCUAAGGAUCACCGAGGAAGAGCUAAAGUUCACAGUGGAGAUCUGUUUCGGGCUCGGCUGCUGGGCCCAGAAUUGAGAGCAGGAGUCCCCGGGGAGGUGAAGGAUCUGGAGAAUGGCACUUACCUCUUGUCCUUCCCCCUGCUCUGGGCUUUUGUUUUGUUUUCUUUUUUUGUUUUGUUUUGGUUUUUUGUAUAGCUCUGUCUGUCCUGGAACUCACUUUGUAGACCAGGCUGGCCUCAAAAUCAGAAAUCUGCCUGUGUCUGCCUCCCGAGUCCUGGGAUUAAAGGUGUAUCAUUGUUCUU